AGAGUUUGAUCCUGGCUCAGAUUGAACGCUGGCGGAAUGCUUUACACAUGCAAGUCGAGCGGCAGCGCGGGGCAACCUGGCGGCGAGCGGCGAACGGGUGAGUAAUGCAUCGGAACAUGUCCAUGUCGUGGGGGAUAGCCCGGCGAAAGCCGGAUUAAUACCGCAUACGCCCGAGAGGGGAAAGUGGGGGACCGCAAGGCCUCACGCGAUUGGGUUGGCCGAUGUCCGAUUAGCUAGUUGGCGGGGUAAAGGCCCACCAAGGCGAUGAUCGGUAGCUGGUCUGAGAGGAUGAUCAGCCACACUGGGACUGAGACACGGCCCAGACUCCUACGGGAGGCAGCAGUGGGGAAUUUUGGACAAUGGGGGCAACCCUGAUCCAGCCAUUCCGCGUGAGUGAAGAAGGCCUUCGGGUUGUAAAGCUCUUUUGUCCGGAACGAAACGGCUAGCGUGAAUAUCGCUGGCUACUGACGUACCGAAGAA
rnacentral:rRNA from 1 species